GACAGAGGUCCCGAGCGUUAGGCGGAAUCACUGGGCUUAAAGGGCGCGUAGGCGGGUUCGUAAGUCUGUGGUGAAAGCCCCCAGCUUAACUGGGGAAGUGCCAUGGAUACUGCGAGUCUUGAGGAGGGUAGGGGCAUCUGGAACACUGGGUGGAGCGGUGAAAUGCGUUGAUAUCCAGUGGAACUCCGGUGGCGAAGGCGAGGUGCUGGACCCUUUCUGACGCUGAUGCGCGAAAGCCAGGGGAGCAAACGGG
rnacentral:rRNA from 1 species